GAGAUUAUAUUUCGUGUUUUUUGUAGUUUAUAUGAAUAUACCUUACAAUUAAUUCCUUGACUGACAUGAUAAAAUCAACGGAAAAGGGUCAAAACUACCCCUGAACUAUUUGAAAAGGUUCAAAAAUACCCCUCAUCCACCUAUUGGGUUAAAAAUACCCCUCAAUCCAUCUUUUUGGUCCACUAUUACCUUUAAAACUAACCAUCUUUUAUUUUUAAAUUUUUAUUAUUAUUGGUUAUGAUGUGGCAUCUUUCUAUUGGAUAAAUUUAAAUUCCAACCCACCAAAUUUUUUCUACCCACCCGACCCAUAUCAACAUUUUUUGACCCAAACUUAAUUAAAAGAUUCAUCAAAAAUAAAAAAAAUUGAUCAUCCCUUCUCUCCCCCCUUAAACCUAAUAACCUAUUUUCUUAUUGAGAUUGUAUAUGCUGAUAGGAAAAAAAUAAGUUAUUAGGUUUUUUUUUUUCACGCCCUAUUUGAAAAUUGUGACAUUUAUAACUUGUGAAACCACAAAUUUAUUCAAUUUUCUGUGAGUUCCAUCACAAACAACCCAAAUACAUACUGUUCGUUCACAAAUCACACCCAAAUUCUGAUAAGAAAGUGAAGGCCUUCUGAACUGCAGACGAUGUGGAGACGACUUAACUCGAAGAAUCAUGAAAGGCAUACUCAAACAGAGUCAUUUUUGUACGCCUUCUGUUGGAGCAUGUACGCAUUCUUCAUUUCUUCCAAAACAGAGUCAUUUUUGUACUGAUG
rnacentral:lncRNA from 1 species